CCGGCGAUGUCCGAAUGGGGAAACCCAGUGCAAUUCGUUGCACUAUCGUUAACUGAAUACAUAGGUUAACGAGGCGAACCGGGGGAACUGAAACAUCUAAGUACCCCGAGGAAAAGAAAUCAACCGAGAUUCCCCCAGUAGCGGCGAGCGAACGGGGAGCAGCCCAGAGUCUGAAUCAGCUUGUGUGUUAGUGGAACGGUCUGGAAAGUCCGACGGUACAGGGUGAUAGUCCCGUACACCAAAAUGCACAGGCUGUGAACUCGAAGAGUAGGGCGGGACACGUGGUAUCCUGUCUGAAUAUGGGGGGACCAUCCUCCAAGGCUAAAUACUCCUGACUGACCGAUAGUGAACCAGUACCGUGAGGGAAAGGCGAAAAGAACCCCGGCGAGGGGAGUGAAAAAGAACCUGAAACCGUGUACGUACAAGCAGUGGGAGCACCUUCGGGUGUGACUGCGUACCUUUUGUAUAAUGGGUCAGCGACUUAUAUUCUGUAGCAAGGUUAACCGUAUAGGGGAGCCGCAGGGAAACCGAGUCUUAACUGGGCGUUAAGUUGCAGGGUAUAGACCCGAAACCCGGUGAUCUAGCCAUGGGCAGGUUGAAGGUUGGGUAACACUAACUGGAGGACCGAACCGACUAAUGUUGAAAAAUUAGCGGAUGACUUGUGGCUGGGGGUGAAAGGCCAAUCAAACCGGGAGAUAGCUGGUUCUCCCCGAAAGCUAUUUAGGUAGCGCCUCGUGAAUUCAUCUUCGGGGGUAGAGCACUGUUUCGGCUAGGGGGUCAUCCCGACUUACCAACCCGAUGCAAACUACGAAUACCGAAGAAUGUUAUCACGGGAGACACACGGCGGGUGCUAACGUCCGUCGUGAAGAGGGAAACAACCCAGACCGCCAGCUAAGGUCCCAAAGUCAUGGUUAAGUGGGAAACGAUGUGGGAAGGCACAGACAGCCAGGAUGUUGGCUUAGAAGCAGCCAUCAUUUAAAGAAAGCGUAAUAGCUCACUGGUCGAGUCGGCCUGCGCGGAAGAUGUAACGGGGCUAAACCAUGCACCGAAGCUGCGGCAGCGACACUAUGUGUUGUUGGGUAGGGGAGCGUUCUGUAAGCCUGCGAAGGUGUGCUGUGAGGCAUGCUGGAGGUAUCAGAAGUGCGAAUGCUGACAUAAGUAACGAUAAAGCGGGUGAAAAGCCCGCUCGCCGGAAGACCAAGGGUUCCUGUCCAACGUUAAUCGGGGCAGGGUGAGUCGACCCCUAAGGCGAGGCCGAAAGGCGUAGUCGAUGGGAAACAGGUUAAUAUUCCUGUACUUGGUGUUACUGCGAAGGGGGGACGGAGAAGGCUAUGUUAGCCGGGCGACGGUUGUCCCGGUUUAAGCAUGUAGGCUGGUUAUCCAGGCAAAUCCGGAUAAUCAAGGCUGAGGUGUGAUGACGAGGCACUACGGUGCUGAAGUAACAAAUGCCCUGCUUCCAGGAAAAGCCUCUAAGCAUCAGGUAACAUCAAAUCGUACCCCAAACCGACACAGGUGGUCAGGUAGAGAAUACCAAGGCGCUUGAGAGAACUCGGGUGAAGGAACUAGGCAAAAUGGUGCCGUAACUUCGGGAGAAGGCACGCUGGUGUGUAGGUGAAGUCCCUGCGGAUGGAGCUGAGACCAGUCGAAGAUACCAGCUGGCUGCAACUGUUUAUUAAAAACACAGCACUGUGCAAACACGAAAGUGGACGUAUACGGUGUGACGCCUGCCCGGUGCCGGAAGGUUAAUUGAUGGGGUUAUCCGUAAGGAGAAGCUCUUGAUCGAAGCCCCGGUAAACGGCGGCCGUAACUAUAACGGUCCUAAGGUAGCGAAAUUCCUUGUCGGGUAAGUUCCGACCUGCACGAAUGGCGUAAUGAUGGCCAGGCUGUCUCCACCCGAGACUCAGUGAAAUUGAACUCGCUGUGAAGAUGCAGUGUACCCGCGGCAAGACGGAAAGACCCCGUGAACCUUUACUAUAGCUUGACACUGAACAUUGAGCCUUGAUGUGUAGGAUAGGUGGGAGGCUUUGAAGCGUGGACGCCAGUCUGCGUGGAGCCGACCUUGAAAUACCACCCUUUAAUGUUUGAUGUUCUAACGUUGGCCCCUUACCGGGGUUGCGGACAGUGUCUGGUGGGUAGUUUGACUGGGGCGGUCUCCUCCCAAAGCGUAACGGAGGAGCACGAAGGUUAGCUAAUCCUGGUCGGACAUCAGGAGGUUAGUGCAAUGGCAUAAGCUAGCUUGACUGCGAGCGUGACGGCGCGAGCAGGUGCGAAAGCAGGUCAUAGUGAUCCGGUGGUUCUGAAUGGAAGGGCCAUCGCUCAACGGAUAAAAGGUACUCCGGGGAUAACAGGCUGAUACCGCCCAAGAGUUCAUAUCGACGGCGGUGUUUGGCACCUCGAUGUCGGCUCAUCACAUCCUGGGGCUGAAGUAGGUCCCAAGGGUAUGGCUGUUCGCCAUUUAAAGUGGUACGCGAGCUGGGUUUAGAACGUCGUGAGACAGUUCGGUCCCUAUCUGCCGUGGGCGCUGGAGAAUUGAGGGGGGCUGCUCCUAGUACGAGAGGACCGGAGUGGACGCAUCACUGGUGUUCGGGUUGUCAUGCCAAUGGCACUGCCCGGUAGCUAAAUGCGGAAGAGAUAAGUGCUGAAAGCAUCUAAGCACGAAACUUGCCCCGAGAUGAGUUCUCCCUGAGACUUUAAGUCUCCUGAAGGAACGUU
rnacentral:rRNA from 1 species